UACGAAGGGGGCUAGCGUUGCUCGGAAUCACUGGGCGUAAAGCGCACGUAGGCGGAUUGCUAAGUCAGGGGUGAAAUCCUGGAGCUCAACUCCAGAACUGCCUUUGAUACUGGCGACCUUGAGUCCGGGAGAGGUGAGUGGAACUGGCGAGUGUAGAGGUGAAAUUCGUAGAUAUUCGCAAGAACACCAGUGGCGAAGGCGGCUCACUGGCCCGGUACUGACGCUGAGGUGGCGAAAGCGUGGGGAGCAAACAGG
rnacentral:rRNA from 1 species